rnacentral:rRNA from 1 species
GACGUAGGGCGCGAGCGUUGUCCGGAUUUAUUGGGCGUAAAGAGCUCGUAGGCGGCUUGUCGCGUCGGCUGUGAAAACCCGCGGCUCAACUGUGGGCGGGCAGCUGAUACGGGCAGGCUGGAGUUCGGUAGGGGAGACUGGAAUUCCUGGUGUAGCGGUGAAAUGCGCAGAUAUCAGGAGGAACACCGGUGGCGAAGGCGGGUCUCUGGACAGUUCCUGACGCUGAGGCACGAAGGCCAGGGGAGCAAACGGG